UACGUAGGGUGCAAGCGUUAAUCGGAAUUACUGGGCGUAAAGCGUGCGCAGGCGGUUUUGUAAGUUUGUCGUGAAAGCCCCGGGCUCAACCUGGGAAUUGCGAUGAAGACUGCAAGGCUUGAAUCUGGCAGAGGGGGGUAGAAUUCCACGUGUAGCAGUGAAAUGCGUAGAGAUGUGGAGGAACACCGAUGGCGAAGGCAGCCCCC
rnacentral:rRNA from 1 species